AGAGUUAAACAGUGCGUGAAAUUGUUGAAAGGGAAACGUUUGACACCAGUCAUGUGGGUGGAAAAUCAGUCUUUUGCAUUGGGGAGUUGUAAGGGUUCGGACCGCAAGGCCGGCUUUUGCUUCAUCUUUGGUGUAAGUGAUGCACUUUUUCAUCUACAGGUCAACAUCAGUUUGCUUUGCUGGACAAAACUCCAAGGGAAGGUGGCAGCUUAGGCUGUGUUAUAGCCCUGGAGCGAUACAGUGGAGUGGACUGAGGUUUCGCAGUGUGUGCUUUUAGCAAGGCUGACUGGGUGCUAUGGGAUCGUUCGGGGUACAAUGCCUGGCAUUUUGCUUCGUGUCUUUUCUAUACUCGCUCAACUCAGCUCUUCCACGCUUAGGAUGUUGACUUAAUGGUUUUAAACGACC
rnacentral:rRNA from 1 species